rnacentral:rRNA from 1 species
GUGGGGAAUAUUGGGCAAUGGGGGAAACCCUGACCCAGCGACGCCGCGUGAGGGAAGAAGGCCUUAGGGUCGUAAACCUCUGUUGUGUGGGAAGAAGAGCGUGACGGUACCACACGAGGAAGUCCCGGCUAACUACGUGCCAGCAGCCGCGGUAAUACGUAGGGGACGAGCGUUGUCCGGAUUUACUGGGCGUAAAGGGCGCGUAGGCGGUCAUUUAAGUCAGCUGUGAAAUGGUUUGGCUUAACCGGAUCAUGCGGUUGAAACUGGAUGACUGGAGUGCUGGAGAGGCAAGUGGAAUUCCCAGUGUAGCGGUGAAAUGCGUAGAUAUUGGGAAGAACACCGGUGGCGAAGGCGACUUGCUGGCCAGCAACUGACGCUGAGGCGCGAAAGCCAGGGGAGUGAACGGGAUUAGAUACCCUAGUAGUCC